AGAGUUUGAUCCUGGCUCAGGAUGAACGCUAGCGGCAGGCUUAACACAUGCAAGUCGAGGGGUAGAGGUUGCUUGCAACCUUGUGACCGGCGCACGGGUGCGUAACGCGUAUGCAACCUACCUUUUACAGAGGGAUAGCCCAGAGAAAUUCGGAUUAAUACCUCAUAGUAUAUAUCUUUCGCAUGUUAGGUAUAUUAAAGUUCCAACGGUAAAAGAUGGGCAUGCGUCCUAUUAGCUAGAUGGUAAGGUAACGGCUUACCAUGGCUACGAUAGGUAGGGGUCCUGAGAGGGAGAUCCCCCACACUGGUACUGAGACACGGACCAGACUCCUACGGGAGGCAGCAGUGGGGAAUAUUGGACAAUGGGCGCAAGCCUGAUCCAGCCAUGCCGCGUGCAGGAAGAAGCAUCUAUGGUGUGUAAACUGCUUUUGUACAGGAAGAAACAUCCCGACGUGUCGGGACUUGACGGUACUGUAAGAAUAAGGAUCGGCUAACUCCGUGCCAGCAGCCGCGGUAAUACGGAGGAUCCAAGCGUUAUCCGGAAUCAUUGGGUUUAAAGGGUCCGUAGGCGGUUUGGUAAGUCAGUGGUGAAAGCCCGCAGCUCAACUGUGGAACGGCCAUUGAUACUGCCAGACUUGAAUUACAAGGAAGUAACUAGAAUAUGUAGUGUAGCGGUGAAAUGCUUAGAUAUUACAUGGAAUACCAAUUGCGAAGGCAGGUUACUACUUGUGGAUUGACGCUGAUGGACGAAAGCGUGGGGAGCGAACAGGAUUAGAUACCCUGGUAGUCCAA
rnacentral:rRNA from 1 species